UCACUGGGGAGUGGUUUCAGUCCUACUUACAGCUGUUGGUAAAAAGGAUAAAAGCCCACGUAUCCUGAAAUAAAAUAGAUCAAUCAGUUAUCUCAUGGUCAUCUAACUAAGAGAAAGGAUUUACAGAAUUUGUAGAAAGUAAGGUAGUAACCUUUAUAAGGCUUUUUCCUUCAAAAUCAGAAAAACCUUCAACCCCUUCUAUGAAGCUGAGGAGUAAUUGGGGCGUGACAGAGAGCGAGUUGGCAGAAGCACUCAAAAGAGUGACGUCGGUUUACAUCAAUUUCCAGGGACUUAGGUCAACCUCUGCGCUUGAGGUCCACAGUGUGGAUGGCUGAUUUGGCAUUUGCUCGCUACCGCUGAAUGCUGAAACAGCGGUGGCUGCGUUAUUGCAUCCAGAUGGGGAUACACCUUGAUCUGGUCAGAAGCUGGAGUUACUGCGUGUGCCUCGAGAAGGAAAGAACACGCUUCCUGUGGUAUUUGAAUCCUUUCCAAACUGGGGCUAUUUUCUAGGCGUGUUGUGACUCUCGGCUCCAAAAACCUGAGGGCUGCGUUGUGCCGUGUUUUAUUUUCCACACAUCAUCCUAUGCUGGAUAGCAACGAAUUCUGGAGCCGCAGCCACAUCCCAAGAUCUGUAUUUGUCUUGGAGAAAUAGGGAUUCCUCCCCCCCUUCCUAUGGGCAGCAAAUCAAACCCAGCUGUGCAAUUGUAGCCAGAAUAGGCUUUGGA